rnacentral:rRNA from 1 species
UACGAAAGGUGCAAGUGUUACUCGGAAUCACUGGGCGUAAAGCGCGUGUAGGCGGUCCGGUAAGUCCGCUGUGAAAGUCGAGGGCUCAACCUCGAAUGCCGGUGGAUACUGUCGGGCUUGAGUACGGGAGAGGCGAGUGGAAUUCCCGGUGUAGCGGUGAAAUGCGCAGAUAUCGGGAGGAACACCAAUGGCGAAGGCAGCUCGCUGGGACGGUACUGACGCUGAGACGCGAAAGCGUGGGUAGCAAACAGG